AUGGCGACCGCAUCCAAGAGAUUGAAGACUGAUCAUCGGCCGCCGCCUCGCCGGAAUGUAGCUUCAUCGGAUGAAAAGAACGACAAAGCUGCAAUACCAGCAGGUGGAUUGCAGGCUCCUGUGGCUCAAACAAGUGGAUCCAAUUUGAGGGUUCAACAGGCCAAAAACUUUGCUGUUGCACAGGCGCAAGCGGAUGGUUGCACUGGGAACUACAAGAUCUUUGAUUCAUCCUUUGGCAAUUUUCUUGUGCCUGUAGUCCCAGCUCGUGCAGAUCUAGCUCUGUAAUUCGUCUUUGGACCCAAUUCGAAGCCGUAUGUCUCUUAUUUUAUGUGAAAGGGAUGGAGAAAUGAUAAUAUUGUAGAGGAGAUCACGGGUUUGAUUUCAUUCAUAAUU